GCACUGAAACACUUGUUCCUGUACAAUCACCGAAGUUAAGCAACAUCGAUCCUGGUCAGUACCUAGAUGGGUGACUGCUUGAGAAUACCAGGUGUUGUAA